CGGACCGGGCCCGGCCGCGCUUCCGGCGCCGCGGCUCCAUGGACGCCAAGCUGCGCUUCUGGAGGGCGGAGGGGCAGUCUUUCUUCCAGAGGUUUCUCCUCUGGUCGGACGCCUUGGAUCCGCUGCUGCUCCUCAAGUCCACCAAUGAAAUACAAAGAACCAGGUUAUUAAUACAAAACAAUGAGAAGACCCUAAGUGAGCCCAUACAGAAUAAUCAGACUAAACAAGCCUUCUUACUAAGCCUGUCCAGCAUACAUCCUGAUACAGACAAGAUAAUUCCUGUUUUGUUUAGACCUCCUGCUUUCAUGCCCAUAACUCUUCCCUUGGUCAUUGUUUCAUCUGUUCAGAGCCAGGCAAAGCAUUCUUUAUUUUGGCAGUUUGUGUUUCACACAUACACCACAGCAUUCACUCUGGUAAAUGGAAAUGGCACCCCAAAGGCUGAAGAAUACUCACUUCGUCAAAAGCAGAUCUUUCUUGGCUUGUUAGCCAUUUCCUAUUCAGCCUGUGUUGGUGCUCUCCCUCUUGCCUUCAUGAAUCGUUAUGUGCUGAAGAGCUCAUUAAUGCAACUUGUCGUCAGAAAACUUCUCCCUGCUCCUCUGUUUGGUUUGACAAGUGCAUUUACUGUGGCGGUGGUGAGAAGCCCAGAAUUUGAGAAUGGGAUAGAAGUGAUGGACAGGAAUGGCAAGGUUAUAGGAGUGUCUAAGAAGGCUGGUGAGAAGGCUGUUACGGAGACUGCAUUGUCCAGAGGAGUCUUGUUUGGGACAACGUUCUUCCUGCCAGAAGUGCUCAUGUACUGUGUGCAGAGAGCAAGAUUCGUUAAAAAUCCUCGUGCUUUGGGUUCAGUGAGGAUGUUUGUGAUCAUGUCAGUCCUAGCAGGGAUGCUGCCAGCCUCAUUUAGUAUGUUCCCACAGUGUGGGGAGAUAAAGCGAGCAGACCUUGAACCAGAAAUUCUGUCAUCUACAGAAGAAACAGAGUUCUUCUACAACAGGGGAAUCUAGAGCCUGGCUUUUAGAUAUAGAUGUGUGCUGUGAUCCAAGUGAAUUCUGAUUGCAGCACUGGCAUUUGUGGCUGAAUUGUGAUUCUGUGGUGGCAAAGGUGCCAGAUCCUGUGAAUGAUGGUGUGGCCUGUAAAGAGGCAGAACUUUGCAACAUGGCUUUGCCAGCCCAGCCUGGUGGCACCUGAAGCUGAAAAGUACUAGAAAAUCACUAUAACACAGCCUUUGUCACAACCUGUGUUCUGUGCUUCCUCAGGAACCCAGCUGGUGAAGGCUUUGACAUCAGUACUCCUGUGGGUAAAGUCCAGCUGGUUCUUAUCAGAACACUUUGAUGUUUUCAGUGAUCUACCAAUGCUCAUUUUGAGGAUGAGACGUGACUGAGGCAGCCCUUGAAGUUAUAUUGGACAAAGCAACCCUGAUGGCAAUGGAAUAUUGGUUUAAUUUAGUUGUCUAAAAAGUGUUCAGGAAAUGGGUGUCAGACUUGAUUACCAAUUAGUUCCUGGCUUUCUAAACAUCCUUGAAGUAGUUGUGAGGCCUGAUGGCCCUUGAGCUUUAGAGCUUGUUUUUUUACACUGAAAUCAUGAGGAGAUCCCAUGGCUUUCUGACCUUGCGGGGGACAACGAGGAAUUCCACUUUUGAAGGUUGGCUGUGGUUAUCCAAAGAAAGAAAGCAAGCUCUUUUGAUAUGUAGCAUUAUUUUGGUGUGUUGAUCAGCGAGGUGAUACAUUUUGCUGAUCCUGUGAAAUUAUUCAGGGACCCUCAGCUGUCUGGGAAGGGCUGCAGAAAGAGCUUAUAGGACACCCUGUGAUUGUGACAACAUCUUCAGUGAUUUUUGAGCCACCUCUCCUACAGCCCCUGCCUGUGGUUAUGUGUGGUGCUGCUAAGGCUAUGUGACAAGGAUGGAAAUGCAUUAAAUAAUGGAAAAUUAUUUAUGUGAAAGUGAUUAGCACAAGUGCAGCCUCCAAAGUGUGCCAUAAUUUAACUUCCUUAGGGCACAUCAUGCAGUUCACUGCUCUGCAUUUGCUGGAGGAUUGG